AUUGAACGCUGGCGGAAUGCUUUACACAUGCAAGUCGAACGGUAGAGGGGGCAACCCCUUGAGAGUGGCGAACGGGUGAGUAAUACAUCGGGACAUGCCCAGUCGUGGGGGAUAACGUAGCGAAAGCUACGCUAAUACCGCAUACGAUCUAUGGACGAAAGCGGGGGACCGAAAGGCCUCGCGCGAUUGGAGUGGCCGAUGGCAGAUUAGGUAGUUGGUGGGGUAAAGGCCUACCAAGCCUGCGAUCUGUAGCUGGUCUGAGAGGACGACCAGCCACGCUGGGACUGAGACACGGCCCAGACUCCUACGGGAGGCAGCAGUGGGGAAUUUUGGACAAUGGGCGCAAGCCUGAUCCAGCCAUUCCGCGUGCAGGAUGAAGGCCCUCGGGUUGUAAACUGCUUUUGUACGGAACGAAAAGGUGGCCUCUAAUACAGGUUGCUGAUGACGGUACCGUAAGAAUAAGCACCGGCUAACUACGUGCCAGCCGCCGCCGUAA
rnacentral:rRNA from 1 species